rnacentral:rRNA from 1 species
GAGUUUGAUCGUGGCUCAGAUUGAACGCUGGCGGCAUGCCUUACACAUGCAAGUCGAACGGCAGCACGGGAGCUUGCUCCUGGUGGCGAGUGGCGAACGGGUGAGUAAUGCAUCGGAACGUAUCCUGGAGUGGGGGAUAACGUAGCGAAAGUUACGCUAAUACCGCAUAUUCUGUGAGCAGGAAAGCGGGGGACCUUCGGGCCUCGCGCUCUUGGAGCGGCCGAUGUCGGAUUAGCUAGUUGGUGAGGUAAAGGCUCACCAAGGCGACGAUCCGUAGCAGGUCUGAGAGGAUGAUCUGCCACACUGGAACUGAGACACGGUCCAGACUCCUACGGGAGGCAGCAGUGGGAAUUUUGGACAAUGGGGGCAACCCUGAUCCAGCCAUGCCGCGUGAGUGAAGAAGGCCUUCGGUGUAAG